rnacentral:rRNA from 1 species
GGAGGGGGCUAGCGUUGUUCGGAAUUAUUGGGCGUAAAGGGCGCGUAGGCGGCCUGGUAAGUCGGACGUGAAAUCCCGCGGCUCAACCGCGGAAUUGCGUUCGAAACUGUCAGGCUUGAGUCCCGGAGAGGGUAGCGGAAUUCCCAGUGUAGCGGUGAAAUGCGUAGAUAUUGGGAGGAACACCAGUGGCGAAGGCGGUUACCUGGACGGGUACUGACGCUGAGGCGCGAAAGCGUGGGGAGCAAACAGGAUUAGAUACCCUGGUAGUCCACGCUGUAAACGAUGGGCACUUGGUGUUGCGGGUAUCGACCCCCUGCAGUGCCGAAGCUAACGCAUUAAGUGCCCCGCCUGGGGAGUACGGUCGCAAGGCUG